AUUGUGGAACAAAAAAAAAUGUGGACAUGUUGAACUACUACUCAUCGACAGGGAUAACAUUGAUCACCGGUUAGUUGAUUUUCAACAACCACCCAAUUCAGAAGGAAGAAUAAAGACGGACCUUGACCAACUUGAAGGCUAUCCAUAUUGCAUUAUUGGGUGGGGCCCUUCCUCUGUGAGUGGCUCAAAUUCUGGUCUAUAAUGGCUUCCUAAGCAUUUCCUAUUCUUCUUAAAGUUGCAAGAAAUACUUCAAACGGCGACUUUUCAAACGCACUUUGCAACCAAAGCUUUAAGUAUUUCUGGAAAUAACUAAGCCAAACUUGACAAGUUGCAACCGACCGACUAAGCAAGUGAAAUUAGCUCAAUAAUAAGAUGACAGGAAUGUGCUACUCGCUUAUUCCCACGAGUGAGCUGGGUUUCUUCAGAUCCGCUUAUCUCUCAAACCAGGAAGGAAACAUUGAAAUUUCCAUUUACAAAUAAACUGGCAAAUCUCUCAUAAAUGGCCCCACCCACCCAACCAAGUACUCCUAACUUGAUUGCACCCAAAUUACGAAAAAAUCUCUGAAAUUUACCCACAUCCAAUAUUCGCCCAACUACAUAAAAAAUAUCGUUCCUAAGUGAAAUCUAAAUCAGAUCCGAAACGAAAUAAUAUGGGUUCUGCCCAGAAAAUAGCUGAACCAGAAACCAGAAACUGGAUGGCAAGUCAAGUGGAUGAAACUACUUCAAAAUACGACUUGACUCUUUCACUUGAUCACAAAAUCAAUACCAUUGCUGGGUUUUCUCAUCCACCCGAAAGAAGAAACUGUACAGUAUAUACACUGUCAUAAAUACCAUUAUUCUCUCUCCCUGCAGAAAAUGAUGCUCAUCUUCGUGAAAGCGAAAGUGCGAAACUUGGCUCAUUUCCGUGCAAAUAAAUUUUUAAGAGGGAUUCAUCCACCCUUUUUUACGCCGUGUCCUUUGUAUUGUUCUCAUUUUUGCAAGGGUUUUAUUGAAACAAGAAAGCAAAAGGAGGGAUACAUAAGUGCGAGAUGAUCAACGAUUGACCCAUUUAAAGCUGCUCCCUGCUGGGUAUGUGGUCUGGUUAGUGUCAUGUCGUAAGUUGUCAUCAUGCUGGACUGAAACCGGCCAACCUUUCCUGAAUUAUUUAUGAAUUGGUGACAUUUCUUGUACUAUUUUUUUUCGAAGGAGAGGAAAUAAAUGUCAAGUGUGAGAGGGAAUGGAUGACCUGGAAGGCUGGCAAAUGUUAGAGCAUGGAUGAAUUUUUUUAUCCUCCGCUUGCAAUGAACCUGCUAAAAUGUAAAACUAAUUAACAAAUAUUAAAAUUUUCUGUAAAGGGCGCUGUCAUUCAAAAAAAAUACGAAUUUAUUUUUAAAAAAUUCUCGUUUUUUCAUCCAUUCAACUAAAUUUUACUUGUUUGUCUAUUCAGUUUCCCAACGUAAAUCAAAAUAUCAUCACGAUGAGGCGUUGUGCAUGAUUAUUAGAUUCGUUAAUAAUCACCCCACCCACAUCACCAGCACCUCGCUAAUUGCAUCUCGACCAAGCCAACCAUUCAUUCAUUACGAGCCCAAAACCAAACCAAACCACCACCACGACGAAGAACCAAACACUAAUUAAUGCCAGACCGGAAUUACUCACCCUUUUCCUUUCAAACAUUAAUGAUUAUUAUCUUGGCAGUGGUGGUGAGAACUUUACACAUUUUAUGAACAUUUUCACCUCCUCCUCCCCGUGAUGCUUCCGACUUUCUCUAAAUACUUAUUUGGAUGAUGAAGUAUCUAUAUCGUAUGUAGUAUAAGUUGUUGAUGAUUAUUGUGAGGAACGACCAAUUUCGAAUCCCGACACGAUAUUCUAGCCUUGUUUUCUCUUGUUUUAUUAAGUAGCUUGAGCUACUUUAUGUGAAGACUUUGUCUGUCCGUCCGCCUGUCUGUCUGUCAGCAAGAUAACGAGAGAACGGAUUGAGAUAAUCAAAAUCGGUUUAGGGCAUGAUACAUAUGACCCUUGGGGGAGGAUCGUGUCAAAUUUUGGGGUCAAUAGGACCACUCCCCCUCAAGGGAAGGGGGUGUGGUUGGGGAAAAUGUGAUUUUUACUAAAAUUUUAUGAAAUACAGUGAAAUUCAAUGUUCUCGUGAUAUUGUGCGAGUGGUUGGGGUGAAAAGUGAGUCUGAAGCUACUUUUUUACGCUCGUUUAUUUGCUAACAUAACAAGGCGUGAUGUAAAAUGAAAUUCGUGUAUGUGAUCCGUGAUGCUACGUAAUGAGGCUCAGAGUUUGGCACGGUGACAAUAAUUUUGGCAUGGCGUGGCUCUUGACAAUUCCAACGAGGCCUGACAAUGUUUGGAAUAAAUACGUAUGUACAUAAGCACAUACGUGCUCCCGAAAUCAGUACGCGAUGAUUGGCUCCAUUACGGGAAUGCGACACACGGAGGAGAAAGUGAACCUAAUAAUUAGACUACUUUUUUGACGUUGGUUGCCAAAAAAUCGUCCAAUUUGGAGAGUUAUUAUUUCAUAUUUUUUUUCUUACCGAGUGGGGAAGAAGAACACGAUGUGUCAUGAUUUUUUUUAUUGUGAGAGAAAGAAUUGGGUUUUUUAAGUAAGGAAAGUGAAAGAAGUUUAGUAUCGUUAGGCUGAUGGGAGGAUGUAUUUUAUGACACGUUUCUCAUCCAUGUCACCCACGGGAUGAAAUGAGAGUAAGUUAUGUAGGUUACUAAAAGUAUGAGUAUCUUUGAAAGAUAAGGUGUUAUUAAUUUGUAAAAUUCAUGCUAUGUUUGUAGUUGGGGUUAAUUUGAAGAUUAAUUAAGGAUUGCAUUCGGGAUAUAAGUAAAGUUGAUCUCAUUACAUUAAGGACGACAAUUGUCAUUGUUAAAGUUGGAUAAUUUAUAUGAACAUGUGAAAUUUCUGCUUAAUUGUUCAAUUAAUUUUAAAAUUGGGACAAUUAUGCGCCGGUCUUAUAAUUUCGGAGAUGACAAUAAAUAUCGUUAACAAGCUU